rnacentral:rRNA from 1 species
GCGUGCUUACCAUGCAAGUCGAACGAUGAACCGCUUUCGGGCGGGGAUUAGUGGCGAACGGGUGAGUAACACGUGGGCAAUCUGCCCUGCACUCUGGGACAAGCCCUGGAAACGGGGUCUAAUACCGGAUAUGACUGUCCAUCGCAUGGUGGAUGGUGUAAAGCUCCGGCGGUGCAGGAUGAGCCCGCGGCCUAUCAGCUUGUUGGUGAGGUAGUGGCUCACCAAGGCGACGACGGGUAGCCGGCCUGAGAGGGCGACCGGCCACACUGGGACUGAGACACGGCCCAGACUCCUACGGGAGGCAGCAGUGGGGAAUAUUGCACAAUGGGCGAAAGCCUGAUGCAGCGACGCCGCGUGAGGGAUGACGGCCUUCGGGUUGUAAACCUCUUUCAGCAGGGAAGAAGCGAAAGUGACGGUACCUGCAGAAGAAGCGCCGGCUAACUACGUGCCAGCAGCCGCGGUAAUACGUAGGGCGCAAGCGUUGUCCGGAAUUAUUGGGCGUAAAGAGCUCGUAGGCGGCUUGUCACGUCGGUUGUGAAAGCCCGGGGCUUAACCCCGGGUCUGCAGUCGAUACGGGCAGGCUAGAGUUCGGUAGGGGAGAUCGGAAUUCCUGGUGUAGCGGUGAAAUGCGCAGAUAUCAGGAGGAACACCGGUGGCGAAGGCGGAUCUCUGGGCCGAUACUGACGCUGAGGAGCGAAAGCGUGGGGAGCGAACAGGAUUAGAUACCCUGGUAGUCCACGCCGUAAACGGUGGGCACUAGGUGUGGGCAACAUUCCACGUUGUCCGUGCCGCAGCUAA